GGGCUGGUAGCUCAGCUGGUAGAGCAUCUGAAUGGCAUUCAGAAGGUCAGGGGUUCGAUUCCCCUCCAGUCCACCA
rnacentral:tRNA from 1 species